UAAUCUUGUGUGUGUGUGUGUGUGUGUGUGUGUGUGUGUGUGUGUGUGUGUCUGUGUGUGUGUGUGUGUGAGAGAGUGCGAGAUAAUCACUUUUUUCUUAUUUAUUAAAGGUAAUGUAGAGUUUUUAGGAGUUUGUGAGUGAGGUGAGAGUGUGUCAGUGUGUCAGGGGUGUAUCAAGAGUGUAUCUUACUAUGUAGAUUGCUUCAAUGAAUGGUAAUGAAUGGUGUCUUAACCCCUUCAGUACUAUGACACAUUUCCCUAUUCCUUGUGGUGACUAUUUGGUGAUUUUGUACAGCUUCACAAAGUCAUGUUGGGGUGAAAAUUGUGAUUUACAUCCCGUACCUACUCACUGCUAGGUGAACAGGGGCUACACGUGAAAGGAGACACACCCAAAUGUCUCCACCCGGCCAGGGAAUCGAACCCCGGUCCUCUGGCUUGUGACCACUGAGCUACCGGGUGUGUGUGUGUGUGUGUUUAAAAUGUAUUGUUUUCAUGUAAAUUAUUAUUAUUUCAUUGUUUUUCUCUCUCUCUCUCUCUUGUAAAUUGUUGUAAAUGUUGUAAAUGUCUAUUUUGUAUUAAGUUGAUAAUUGUUGACUUUUUUUAAUGUUUGAAAAUUUGUGUAGAGUUUUUGCUGUAAUUUUUCAUAUUUUUACUGUUUAUUCAUUUUUUUUACUAUUUUUUUACUAUUAAGUUGAAAUUUGUGUAGAGUUUUUUUCUGUAAUCUUUCAUAUUUUUACUGUUUAUUCAUGUUUAUUCAUUUUUUUUACUAUUAAGUUGAAAAUAUUUGUAGAGUUUUGCAGGCAAUGUACUAUAAUGUCAAAUGUUGAAUAAAAGUGUAGGGAGA